rnacentral:rRNA from 1 species
AGGAGGCAGCAGUGGGGAAUAUUGCGCAAUGGGCGAAAGCCUGACGCAGCAACGCCGCGUGAGGGAUGAAGGCCUUCGGGUUGUAAACCUCUUUCGAGCAGGGACGAUAAUGACGGUACCUGCAGAAGAAGCUCCGGCCAACUACGUGCCAGCAGCCGCGGUAAUACGUAGGGAGCGAGCGUUGUCCGGAUUCAUUGGGCGUAAAGAGCUCGUAGGCGGCUUGAUAAGUCGGAUGUGAAACCUCCAGGCUCAACCUGGAGUCGCCAUCCGAUACUGUCAUGGCUAGAGUCCGGUAGGGGCCCACGGAAUUCCUGGUGUAGCGGUGAAAUGCGUAGAUAUCAGGAGGAACACCGGUGGCGAAGGCGGUGGGCUGGGCCGGCACUGACGCUGAGGAGCGAAAGCGUGGGGAGCGAACAGGAUUAGAUACCCAAGUAC